rfam:Ophiostoma piceae TAMH 11346 chromosome Tnknown scf02, whole genome shotgun sequence.
GCGGCCUUGGUCUAAUGGUUAGGAUUUCACUCUUCCAAAGUGAAGGCCCGUGUUCGAUUCACGGAGGUCGCA